AUUGAACGCUGGCGGCAGGCCUAACACAUGCAAGUCGAGCGAGCGCCGGACGGGUGAGUAAUGUCUGGGGAACUGCCUGAUGGAGGGGGAUAACUACUGGAAACGGUAGCUAAUACCGCAUACCAUCAGAUGUGCCCAUAGGGGAUUAACUAGUAGGUGGGGUAACGGCGCACCUAGGCGACGAUCCAUAGCGGGUCUGACAGGAUGAUCAGCAACACUGGGACUGACACACGGUCCAGACUCCUAAGGGAGGCAGCAGUGGGGAAUAUUGCACAAUGGGCGCAAGCCUGAUGCAGCCAUGCCGCGUGUAUGAAGAAGGCCUUCGGGUUGUAAAGUAAUUUCAGCCAGGAGGCGUUACCCGCAGAAGAAGCACCGGCUAACUACGUGCCAGCAGCCGCGGUAAUAC
rnacentral:rRNA from 1 species